AUAAGCGGAGGAAAAGAAACUAACAAGGAUUCCCUUAGUAACUGCGAGUGAAGAGGGAAAAGCUCAAAUUUAAAAUCUGGCAGUGCUUCACUGUCCGAGUUGUAACCUAGAGAAGUGUAACCUGCGCUGGACCGUGUAUAAGUCUCCUGGAAUGGAGCAUCACAGAGGGUGAGAAUCCCGUCUUUGACACGGACUACCAGUGCAUUGUGGUUUCGCUCUCAACGAGUCGAGUUGUUUGGGAAUGCAGCUCUAAAUGGGUGGUAAAUUCCAUCUAAAGCUAAAUAUUGGCGAGAGACCGAUAGCGAACAAGUACCGUGAGGGAAAGAUGAAAAGAACUUUGGAAAGAGAGUUAAACAGUAUGUGAAAUUGUUGAAAGGGAAACGUUUGAAGUCAGUCGCGUUGGUUGGGGAUCAGCCUAACAUUGUUGGGUGUACUUCCUGGUUGACGGGCCAACAUCAGUUUUGACUGCCAGAAAAAGGCCAAAGGAAUGUGGCACCCUUGGGUGUGUUAUAGCCCUUGGUCGUAUAUGGUGGUUGGGACUGAGGAAAGCAGCGUGCCGAAAGGCCGGGUUUCGACCACGUUCACGCUGAGGAUGUUGGCAUAAUGGCUUUAAGCGACCCGUCUUGAAACACG
rnacentral:rRNA from 1 species